UACGUAGGUGGCAAGCGUUGUCCGGAUUUAUUGGGCUUAAAGGGUGCGUAGGCGGCCCUGUAAGUCAGUGGUGAAAUCCCGCAGCUCAACUGUCGAGGUGCCAUUGAUACUGCAGGGCUUGAGUACAGACGAGGUAGGCGGAAUUGACGGUGUAGCGGUGAAAUGCGUAGAUAUCGUCAGGAACACCGAUAGCGAAGGCAGCUUACUAGGCUGUAACUGACGCUGAGGCACGAAAGUGUGGGGAGCAAACAGG
rnacentral:rRNA from 1 species